GUUGUUUCCUGCCUUUGGAUUAUAUUUUUCCGGCACGUCGUGUUUCAUUACCAUUUUCCGUUAUAGUUGCUAUUGGUGCAGUUUGUAUGAUACUACGAGCUGCUUUUCCUAAACCUGUUUCGGAACUAUCUGAACGGAACGAUCGGGAAGAUCCGGCAAAUAUACGACGUUUGGGAACUUGUUAUCGUGAUGUGUUUGCUGCUAGAGAAGCCGGUAUUCCCGCAACCCGCUAACUGAUCGAACCUUCGGAAUAACAAAAACAAACGGAAAACGAUUAAAGUAACAGAAUUCCUGAUUUUAUUCGGAUUACGCAACAUGGCACGAUGAAAAUGGAACUGGUUGCUGCUCGGUGCUACAUAGACUUGCGGCUACAAGUUCUUGGUUUGAACACUGUGCUAACUCCAACUAAAGCACCAAACGGAUUGAAACCAGCAAUAGAAAUUUAAUUAGAUCCUAAAUUGAGAUAUUAUAACUUUAA